UACGAAGGGGGCUAGCGUUGUUCGGAAUCACUGGGCGUAAAGCGCACGCAGGCGGAUCGUUAAGUCAGGGGUGAAAUGCCGAGGCUCAACCUCGGAACUGCCUUUGAUACUGGCGAUCUUAGAGUCCGGGAGAGGUGAGUGGAACUCCGAGUGUAGAGAUGAAAUUCGUAGAUAUUCGGAAGAACACCAGUGGCGAAGGCGGCUCACUGGCCCGGUACUGACGCUCAGGUGCGAAAGCGUGGGGAGCAAACAGG
rnacentral:rRNA from 1 species